AACAACAAAGAAUAAUAUGAUGAAGUUGUGAGUGAAAAGAACUCGUUAGAUCUUUCAUCAACUAACGACUAUUCAAAGUUACACGACUAUUCUAUGGAUAAGAAAAGGAUAUUUAAAUUCAAAUUGACUACUUUUUGAGAAAAGGAUGAAGAGGAGGAAGAGGUAGAUAAUGAUGAAGGAGGUUUUCCUGAGCCAGAGAGUAUCGGGCAUUUGAUGAGCACGGAAGGGGAGAUUGAUGGGAAUGAACAUGGGGAAGAUAGGGAUGAUGAUAAUCAUGGUGAGACUGGUGAGGAAGAGUUAGGUGUUCAAGAGGAUGGGGAAUAUGAAGAUGAAGAAGAGGGUGAAGAGGAGGUGAGGUUUCAUAUUGCUUGCAAUACUUACUACCUGUCAUACUUCUAUUGUUUACACCAUUUGAUUAACUUUAGUUUCUUUUUUUUCUACUUAUUGCGUUGUUAUCUCAUAUAACUUGAGUUAAUUGUUUGAUUUAAGUGGCUUUUUUAGAUUUUUUCCAAGUAAAUAUA